AACGAACGCUAGCGGGAUGCCUCAAACAUGCAAGUCGUACGCGAAAGUACCUUCGGGUACAAGUAGAGUGGCGCACGGGUGAGUAACACGUAGGUAAUCUACCCUUUCGCUGGGGACAACUCCGGGAAACCGGAGCUAAUACCGAAUGAGCUGCGAGAGACUCCGGUCUCUUUCGGCAAAGGCGCAAGCCGCGAAAGGAUGAGCCUGCGUCCCAUUAGCUUGAUGGUGGGGUAACGGCCUACCAUGGCUACGAUGGGUAGCUGGUCUGAGAGGAUGAUCAGCCACACUGGAACUGGAACACGGUCCAGACUCCCACGGGAGGCAGCAGUUGGGAAUCUUGCACAAUGGGCGAAAGCCUGAUGCAGCAAUCCCGCGUGAGUGACGAAGGCUUUCGGGUCGUAAAGCUCUUUUCAGCAGGGAAGAAAGGAAACUUGACGGUACCUGCAGAAGAAGCACCGGCUAACUACGUGCCAGCCGCCGCGGUAA
rnacentral:rRNA from 1 species